UCCUUGCACUAGAUAUCGUGGGAUAAACUCUCAGCACCAAAAGUAAAGGGAGGCAUGGGAUUCCAGGACUUUGCUCAAUUCAACCUAGCUUUGCUAGGAAAACAUGGUUGGAGGCUCAUUACACAUCCCAAUUCCUUGUGCUCCAGAGUUUUAAAGGGCAAGUAUUUCCCUAACUGUCACUUUUUGGAGGCAACAGCACCCAAGUUUGCAUCCACAACAUGGAGGGCCAUAAUUGCCGGUCGUGCUGUGGUUGAAACUGGACUGAUCAAAAGGGUGGGGAAUGGUGAUUCCAUCUCCAUAUGGGAAGAUCGUUGGAUCCCCAACACUUCCGCGUUCAAGCCCAUAGGGCGCCUUGGCAAUGAUCAUGUUCAAAAGGUGUCAGAGUUAAUUGACCAUCAGAAUGGGUCUUGGCUGGUGGAUAGGGUACAUAGCAUUUUCCUUGCUCCGGAUGCAGAUGCAAUAUUAAACAUUCCGUUAAGAGCUUCUGGUGGGGAGGACUUCUAUGCUUGGGCCUUGGAAAAAUCAGGUGUUUAUUCUGUCAAAACGGCAUGUCGUGCUCUAAUGACUCGGAUCGAGCACAACGAUAGCGGAAACUUCAUCGUCAAAUAA
rnacentral:rRNA from 1 species